rnacentral:misc_RNA from 1 species
GUUUGAAAGGAUGAAUAAAAUAUUACUAGUGAUAUUUCUUGUCUACAUUUUUUGUUUGUAACAAAAUUUUAGGAUUUUAGGGGGAAAAAGAAACAAAUUGAGGGACAAACCAUGAAUUUGUAGGGCUUCUAAGACAAAUAACCAAGCUAACUACUCAAUCAAACCCAAAACUCAGCAAGCAAAAUUUUCCCUGAUUAAAGUCCCCCAUAUUUCCAGUUAUUGUCUCCACACAUCUGAAAAGCCAAAUAUCAUCAUUUCAUCCAAAAGCCGUCCUGUCUCUUUUUCAUAGACAACACAAUACAGCUCCCAAACUUCUUUACUCAAAACAAAAAUUUCUAGUACCUCAGCCAAAUCAGACUGGUGGCUGAGGUUGUGCUGGCUCUCAGGACGGAACUUCAUGUUAACCAACUUUUCAACAAUUUCCUAUUUCAUUUUUGGAUUAACUUGUCAAAUUAAUCAAGCUGUUCUUG